rnacentral:rRNA from 1 species
CCUACGGGAGGCAGCAGUGGGGAAUAUUGCACAAUGGGGGAAACCCUGAUGCAGCGACGCCGCGUGAGUGAAGAAGUAUUUCGGUAUGUAAAGCUCUAUCAGCAGGGAAGAAAAUGACGGUACCUGAUUAAGAAGCCCCGGCUAACUACGUGCCAGCAGCCGCGGUAAGACGUAGGGGGCAAGCGUUAUCCGGAUUUACUGGGUGUAAAGGGAGCGUAGACGGCAGCACAAGUCUGGAGUGAAAUGCCGGGGCUUAACCCCGGAACUGCUUUGGAAACUGUGCAGCUAGAGUGCAGGAGAGGUAAGUGGAAUUACUAGUGUAGCGGUGAAAUGCGUAGAUAUUAGGAGGAACACCAGUGGCGAAGGCGGCUUACUGGACUGUAACUGACGUUGAGGCUCGAAAGCGUGGGGAGCAAACAGGAUCAGAUACCCGAGUAGUC